GAGCCACGGUUCUACUCGAAUUCCUGCCUGACUAACCCCAUUCCACAGCCGGGGACAGAGGCAUGGGGCCCAAGCAAACAGCUUCCCACCAGUGCUAGGAAGGUACUUUGGCUUAAAAGGUUGACUCCGAGUAGUCCAAACAAUGAGGGCUGAGAAAUCAGCGAACCCAGUCUGACCCAGACAACUGCUAGGCUGCUUUUCAGGGGCCUGAAGGCCAGUGAAACAAGGAGCUUCCACACGGGAGCGCUUUCCUGACACACGCACAGCCCACUGCCAACACUGAUUACACACACACACACACCACUCCAUUCCCAGCAGUUCUUCAUUCUGGAAGGAUCUCUGGCAUUUAAGAUACCCACACCUCAACAAAACAUGAGGCUCCAAAAAAGGGGGAAGAGGUUAAAUCUCAACUGAAAGUGCUUUCGGAGAGCCAAAGGUGAAUAACAGGACAAAGAUGAAUGUUAUACUACCCAAUCCAGAACAAUAAAAUAUCACUCAAGAAA